GGUGAAGCUGCGGUCUCACAACUAAUGUUCAAAUAAGUAAUAUUUUGAAUCAUAAUAUAUUUAAUUACCUAGCUGGUGCUAUUAUAAAAUGCCGGACACCCUGAUAUCGCUGCUUUGUUUGUGAGAAUUUGUUGGCAAAUCAUCUCUCUCGUUUAAUUUAUAGAGUUAUCCUCAAAAAACAUUCACACUAGAUUCAGAACAAUGAAGUCGUGGCAACUGUUUCUUCUAACUCUACUGCUGGUGCUAGUGACGGUGAAGAGCUAUGAAUCAAAUCCAGAGAAAUACUGUGGAAGGAGGUUGGCUCAAGUAAGGGCGGUGGUAUGUGGUGACUCUGAUGUCUUCCUGAACAGAAGAAGGAAGAGAAGCCUGCAUGAAGAGUGCUGCGAAAGAGUGUGCACCCUGGAAGAUAUCCAAACAUAUUGUUAAUUUUCAUACUGCCAAGAGUGUAAACAGACCACGAAUCAAAUUGAUACUAACUAAUUGAUAUUAAACAUCUACCCCAUACUAAAAGUGCAAUCAAACUAUGUAUUUUUAAUAAGCUGAAUGUUUUACAAAUAAAUGCAGAUUACAAAAACUAU